AACAUUUGCAGAGAAGUGGAGAUUCACUCAUAUCACCUUCUCCCCUCACCAUCCACAAGCCAAUGGAAAGACAGAGCCAGCGGUCAAGAAAGUGAAAAGCCUAGAUGGUACGGACGUAUAGUCAGUUUUCUGCAGUGGCGCAACACACCCAUUGAGGGGAUGGACAGUAGCCCAGCACAGCGUCUCAUGUCACACAGACUGAAGUCAUCACUGCCGGAGGCACCCAGCCUGCUGCAGCCCUCUGUGGUUGUGUGUGUCACUGAGAAACUCAGACAGAAAAGGAGGAUUGCCAAAUCACACUAACGUGGCUGCCAGAGACCUCCCUGACUUGAACGUUGGAGAUCAGAAUGUGACCAUUACCAGGUGACCGCACAGGAUGGUGGCGGCUCGGUUCCUGUCCGAAGAGGGUCGCUCCUCAGUCAUUUCUUGUGGACGUUGAUGGCACACUCUACAGACGCAACAGAGUGGACCUUCGAGUGGCAGAACAGGCCACACAGAGGCACAGGGAUUCAACUAAUUUAACGCCACAGCAUGAGAAAUUUGAGUGUGGUCAGCCAGACCCAGACAGGGCAGUCGGAACUGGAAAGUCUGGAAAUGAGGCUGAGAAGCUGAAGGACUGUGAAGAAGGACAUAUGGGUGAACCACAUAACACACAGGCAUAUGUGCCAAGAGCAUAUUGCUCAUUUAGACCACAAAUAUACAAAAGGCAAUAGGGUUGCACUAAGGGAUGCACUGAAACAGACCAAGAAACGACGGCAAAAGAACCUCUGACCAUGGCCUCCUCAGAAACCCAAAAUGACACCAUGACACCUCAGGAAGAAGGUAGGCUUGCUCACAUCCUCAAAGUGAUCAAAGAAGGCAAUGACUCCCUCACAACACAAUUGAACUUGAAAACGGUUCAGCUGCUCCAUCUCAGCACAGAAGGCUGAAAUCAAAAACUCCAUCUCAGGUUUGACAACGACUAUCAACAUGCUAGGAUCACGAAUAGAAAAAGCUGAAGAGCGCAUCAACACUGCCAAGGACAAGAUAGAGGGAAUGGGGACGACUAUUUGGAAUGGGGACGACUACAUUAGAAUUAUCAGCCUCCGCAAGGGCUGUGAGGGGACUGACCCCAUUGAUUUCUCUGCUGCCAUUAUCCCCUCCUUACUGGGUAAAGAACAUUUUGCUGAACCUCUGGUUAUCGAACGGGCACACCGGUCACUCGCCCAUCCCCUGAUCAGAACCCACAACCCUUCGACGUUUGGUUCCUGAAGUACCAGGACAGAGAGAAAAUUAUGAUCCAACACAACGGGCAGGCAAUUCAAUUCUUUCCAGACAUCAGUCCCAAAAUGGUGAAACGCAGGAAGGAAUUCGACCAUUUGAAAAAAUAACUUGCCUCCAAGAACAUUCCCUUUGAGAUGCUUCAACCUGCAACGGUGAAAUUCAUCCAUGAGAGAAGAUUCUUCAAAAUCACAGAGAAGAUUCUUCAAAACGAAGUCGCAACUUUUCUCCGCAUACUGCAGGCAAUCGGCUCAGGACAUGGUUGAUUGGCUAGCGGACCGGGUUAAUUUCACUGCUAGCUGGGCUAUGUCCCACUAACCUGCCUUAUUACUUGCAUAACCGGUAGGACUGCUUUUCUGGAUUAUACAAUAGCUUACUGACAGAUCAAUGAGAAACUACGAAAGUUUUUCAGAAGCAGUCUUGGAGAUAUGACUUUACCAAAUCAACUACUCCAUGACUCAUACAGAUGUAUAUCCAGUGUUCUCCUUGCUAACGCAACAACGCCCAAAACCAGAUCUACAUAAGUCAAGAGAGCGAUGGGAAUCCGAUUUGAAUACUACAAUUGAUGAGGGGCUAUGGUCGGACCUAUGCCAAGAUAGUGUGUCAGCAACCAUCAACUCUAGAUACAGACUUCUACAUUCCUCCACCAACUCUAUCUGACACCUCAGAGGUUACAUAGAUAUAACCCUGAUAUAUCAGAAAUGUGUUUUAGAUAUGGAACAGAAGGCACUUUUUGUCAUUCUAAUUGUCAGUGUACUAAAUGACAAGCCUUCUUGCAUGAUGUUUGUGAUACCCUGGCCUUUAUUAUGGAGGUCCUUUUCCCACUCGACCCUGAAAUAUGCCUUCUGGGUAACUUCACAAAUGUGAAUUUGAGGAAUAACUUCAACAUAAAAUAUA